rnacentral:rRNA from 1 species
GACAAACGCUGGCGGCGUGCCUAAAACAUGCAAGUCGUACGAUCCUUCGGGAUAGUGGCGGACGGCUGAGUAACACGUAGGUAACCUACCCUUGAGUGGGGAAUAACUCCGCGAAAGCGGAGCUAAUACCGCAUACGAUCGUGUGCCCUCGGGUGCACGAGGAAAGUCGCAAGGCGCUCGAGGAGGGGCCUGCGUCCGAUUAGCUUGUUGGUGAGGUAACGGCUCACCAAGGCGACGAUCGGUAGCUGGUCUGAGAGGAUGAUCAGCCAGACUGGGACUGUGACACGGCCCAGACUCCUACGGGUGGCUG